GACGAACGCUGGCGGCGUGCUUAACACAUGCAAGUCGAACGGAAAGGCCCUGCUUUUGUGGGGUGCUCGAGUGGCGAACGGAUGAGUAACACGUGAGUAACCUGCCCUUGACUUUGGGAUAACUUCAGGAAACUGGGGCUAAUACCGGAUAGGAGCUCCUGCUGCAUGGUGGGGGUUGGAAAGUUUCGGCGGUUGGGGAUGGACUCGCGGCUUAUCAGCUUGUUGGUGGGGUAGUGGCUUACCAAGGCUUUGACGGGUAGCCGGCCUGAGAGGGUGACCGGCCACAUUGGGACUGAGAUACGGCCCAGACUCCUACGGGAGGCAGCAGUGGGGAAUAUUGCACAAUGGGCGGAAGCCUGAUGCAGCAACGCCGCGUGCGGGAUGACGGCCUUCGGGUUGUAAACCGCUUUCGCCUGUGACGAAGCGUGAGUGACGGUAAUGGGUAAAGAAGCACCGGCUAACUACGUG
rnacentral:rRNA from 1 species